AUUUACAUUCUCAGGUCCUGCUUUUAUUCAUUGUCACUAGUGUCAACAUGUACCAUGGAAUUUUCGCUGCUUCUAUUGCUUUAAAAGUCAAUUUUCCACCAUGCUGAUUAGUGUUACCAUUUUGCUCCAUGAAAUAGUUGUGAAAAAUAGUAGUACAAAAUCCAGGGGGGAAAAAAAGUUGAGAAAAAUAAACAAAAUGAAAUAGUUUAAUCGUUUUUAGUCCAUGUUUGGAUUGAUGAAGAAAAUUUAGUUUCAUAUAUAUACAUUUUGUCUUAUGAUGCUUGUCAUUGUUUUAAAUUCAGGAGUUAAACUUAAUUGUUUUUUAUUAAGUUUGUGAUUUCAGAUUAUUUGUGAUUUUAGAUUGUAUUGAACCAUUAAACUUAAUUGUUUUUGCCUGAUUUGGUAAUUCUAGCAGGCUUCAUAUUUGUCUAUAUGACAUAUAUUAAUAUUGAUUUUAUAUAAAUCAGGAUGCUUCAAAUGAAUUGAAUUACGAUACCAUUCUUCUUUGGAAAGAGAAGAUUUUCCGUUGCUCUUUUAUGAUACCUGUUCAAAUUCAAUGCUCGGUUGAUGAUUUAUCCUAAUCUAUUCCACAUGUGAUGGGAUUUAACUCAUGAUUAAUAUGUAAUGUAUGCCUUCAUGGAUGUGGUUUUUAAAUAAGAAAGAGAAUUUUGUUUCAGCUAUGCGAGAACCUAUUAUCUUAUGUUAUAAAAAUCUUGUUGAUUUGUAUGUGCUUUUUGUUUCAGCUAUGGAUUGGAUAUUAAUAUGAAUUCCAUUUUUAUGAAAAAAAAAAAGUAGGGGCCAAAAGUGAAGGGGAAGAAGUUUCCAUUUUUAUAUCUUGUCAUUGAUCAUUCAGUUCAAGUUGAUGUCAUUAGAUCAGAAAAUGCAGUUUAGGUAAAUAUGGAGCUUGAAUUCCAAAGGAACAAGGAGAAAUUUGUUUUUCUAGAAUGGGGGUCGAACGCUUUUCACAAUAGGCUUGUUGUUCCUCCAGGUUCUGGUAUCAUGCAUUAGGAGAUUUCUGAUGAGAUAAAUAUGAAAGUAAAAUAGUACGUUAAAGGUGAAGGUGAUAAUUUUGAGGUAUGGCACUUUUGUUUGAGAUUCUUAGACACUUGUAUUUCUUUCUUCUUCUAUUGCCCUAAAAAUCAUAUACAUUUGCAAGGGUUACGAGAUAAAAAAAUUGAAAGCUCAGCUUGCUAUUAGAGAAGAAUUAUAUGGAAAAUAUGUGAAGGAAAGUUGAAUUUUAUGUAAUUUGAUGUUCAAUCAAUUGAUUGAGUUCUUUUCUCUACUUUUUAAGUCUGACGUAAUUUGUAAGUUCAGGUUCAUCUAAUCCUGAUAAUGACAUCUUUUGUGUUAUUUCUUUCUUUUCUUUUCUUUUUUUUGUGUGGAAUUCUUUUCAUACUAACUGGUUUCUUACAUUUAUGCCUAAUAAACUUGUGUUUGUCUUUGUUUUUAUUUUUAGAAGAGAGAAUUAUUUCAAGAUUUGGCUCUACUAUUGGUUUCUCUCUUUGUAGCAGAUAAGCAAGUUGACACUCUAUUUUGUCAAAAAAAAUUUGCUCGAAAAAAGUUACUUUUUUCGUUUUGAUAAAUGUAUGUUUGAAGCAAUGUGGUAAGAGUUGCAAGCUUAGAUGGUUGAAUUAUCUUAAACUAGACAUCAAAAGAGGGUUAGUUGCUCCAGCCACUGCUGUAGGUUUAGGUACCUUAGCACAUACAUUGGGCACUCUCGUCCCUGUGAUAGGAGCAACUGGGUUUGCUGCAACUGCUAUAGGAAUUGUUGUCGGUAGUUUUAGAUAAUCUCUUAAUAGUUUUGGAUAUGUUUAGAAACUUAGAUAUGUAUAGUUUUGGAUGGUUUAAACUUUUUCAAUAGUUUAGAACUUAAGGAUAUAGUUUUCGAAUGUUUGGAAAUGUAUGGACAAUUGUUGAAUGUUUUAUAAUUUAUGAAUAUAGUUUCUUUUUAAUGGU